CUUUCAGACUCUUGGCUUAGAAACAUCCUCUCGGAUAAGUGAUGCCUGUGCAGAGGUGGAGUCACGGCUGACAUCACUUCCAGAAGGUGAAGUGCCAGAAGCAUUAUUGAAGUCCAGUCUGAACUCUGAGCAAUGG